UAAAAUAACUGAUAUUCCAUCUCAGUUUAGCUUGGACUGAGUAAAAGAUUACGAGAAUUCAUAAGGUGCCGCCGGCGUGGUAUGACCCCUCUAAAUUUUAUUUUUACAUUGAAAAACCAGUAAAACAGAAAGAGAGGUAUCACCAUGAGAACGCUGUCCAAAGAUUCACAACCAACCUUAAUAACAGAAGAAAGUGAGUCUAGAGAGACAUCUAUGCAGCCUCCUCUUUAUAAUGGGGCAGCACGGUCAUGGCUUGAGAGCUAGAGCCAAUCCAACUUUUGCAGUCUUCUCGAUCGCCUUGGUGUCUACCUCUCCAGAAACGGUGAAGAAAGACUUUGGCCGCCACUGAUGCUGAACAAGAGCGCUUGCUUUGCCAGCAUUGUUCACCCGUGCCUUCAAUGUCGUCAAU
rnacentral:lncRNA from 1 species